UGUUAAAACUUAAAAGUGCUAUAAGAUCUAUUUUCAUGAAACGGCGCAGUUUCAGCACUCUUCGAAGUUCGAAUAUGAAAAACUUCCAGAUCCAGCCGCGCACUUCACCACACAUCUUUUCCACCGCCAGAACUCGCACAGCCCUAGAGGGAGAGGGAGAGGGAGAGGGAAGAAGAAGAAGCGAGGCUUUCGCGGCUAAGCUAGAUCGAUGGAGACUGCAUCUCCAAGGAGUUUCUGAGUUCAGGAAUCUCUGUUUUCAGUCCAGAGCAAGACUCGCUGCCAACGACGAGAGGAGAGAACUCGCACAACUCUAGAGGGAGAGGGAGAGAGAAGAAGAAGCGAGGCUUUCGCGGAUAAGCUAGGUCGAUGGAGACUGCAUCUCCAAGGAGUUUCCAAGUUCAGGAAUCUCUGAUAUCAGUCUAGAGCAAGACUCGCUACGAACGACGAGAGAAGCGCCACCGAUCAUUUACAAGAUCGCGGCCUCGGAGUACGCUCACGUCUCUGUCACCGAUUUCAAAGUCUAUUUUAUUCGUUCGUCAACGAAGGCGAAACCUUAUCGAUGAUCACAGUUUGAGAUCGUCGAAACUUCUCACACUCGCGCCUCGGUAAACACUUGAAGUAUAUUUUAUUCGUUCGUCAACGAAGGCGAAACAUUAUCGAUGAUCACAGUUUGAGAUCGUCGAAACUUCUCACACUCGCGCCUCGGUAAACACUUGAAGUAUAUUUUAUUCGUUCGUCAACGAAGGCGAAACCUUAUCGAUGGUCACGGUUUGACAUCGUCGAAGCCUCUCACACUCGCGCCUUGGUAAACACUUGAAGAUUUUUUUCUUGUGCUAUGUAUGCUUGAUCAAGUUACUAAGCUUGGUGGCCCGCUUUGUAAUUUCAGAACAUGAUCAAGAGAUUCAAUCUUUCAUGAGGAUAAGUGAGAAGCCAUUGCAUCUUGUGAAUGUACUGGAAAUCUCCAGACGAGGUAGAAAGCAUGGGUGACCAGCAGGCUAUGUUCAUGCUUUUUCCGUAUGUCCCUUUCAUAAUUAGUCUUGCUUGAUCAAAAGCAGAUUGUUCCUCCAAAUUUGUCCCGUGAUUCAUCUGAUGGUGAUAAACAACGAACAAAGGAGCGUGUUUUGCGAAGCUGAAGAUGAAGGAGACACUGGCCGGUCUAUAGCCAGCGAGGCAGAUGCUUGCCCGUGUCUCCUUCAGAACGAAUCUUGUUUUAUCAAUAGAGAGUUCUUCCUCGGUUCAACAAAGGUAAUUUAUGAUAGCUUUAGUAGGUCUGUUCUUUGGUUAUUUUUAUCACAGGAUUCACUGCCUGGGGUGAUAUGGUAAGGUUUUGUGGUUUUCGUUUGUCCGGGAGGUAUUCAGUUAUUCUCCUUGGUAGGUCAGUAAGGCUACUCUUUCGCAGAGUCAGCACAGGAAAAAAACGUCCCGAACUUGAUUUGGGCCUCUUUCAACAGUAUAGUGGGCUGAAAGGCCGAUUUGGUUCAAUUUAUUUGUACCAUUAAACUUCU